rnacentral:misc_RNA from 1 species
AUGUUCAUUUCCCCUCUUCCAGUACGCAUGGCAAUCUGGACAUGAAUGAGACAUCUGAACUGAAUUAUAGCAAUCAAGCCCAGAAAAGCUUUUGUGUCAGGCAUGCUGCUGAAGUAGUUCCUGGAGAAAUGGGUGUCAGUAGUACUAAUGAUGGUGAAGGGGUUUUCAAUGCAGAAACAGUAACAGCUCAGGCUCGAGAUGGUCCUAGUUUUGGUAUUAGU